CGGCCGCGUCACAGCUGGUUUUCAGAGACGUGUUCAGCCGCGGGUUUCACGCUCCCUUGGGGUUGUGUGCGAACAAGGCUGCCCUCUCCCGGCGGCGCGGGGAAGUGCAGCGCCUGUGACUGCGCAGGUGCCCAGGACCAGACAACCCUCCCAGAACUCUGCGGCUGUUCCUCCCCAAGGACAUUUGUGGCAUCGCCCUCAUCUCCGGGGCGCGCUGAGGUCAUGAGAAAGAGAUCAUGCUGUUUGUGUCCUAAGAGACGUUUAUCUAGCCAAAGUCACACAGAUUAUCUCCUGUACUUGUUUCUAGAAGACUGUGAGUGUUGGCUCUUAUGCUCGCAUAUUAGACCCAUUCCACAGAUGAAUGCUGGAUGAUUACAUCCAGUACCUGAGGAGCCACAUGUAUGCUUAGAGAUAUGUGCUGAGAUUUGCUCUCCUAGGGAAGCUUAUUCCAACACCACUUACUGAAAAGACAAACCUUUCCCCGCUGAAUUCGCUUGAGGGCUUUAUAAAAACCAAUUGAGUGGAUAGGUGGGGUUUGUUUCUGAACCUGCUGUUCUGUUCCUCUGACCCACCUGUCCAUCCUGAUGCCCAAAAUGAUAUUAUUGUCUGAAUUACUGUGGUCUUACAGUCAGGCUUAAAACCAGGUAAUGUUGGGGGCGCCUGGGUGGCUCAGUCGGUUGAGCACCGGCUUCAGUUCAGGUCACGAUCUCACUGUCCGUGAGUUCGAGCCCCGCGUCGGGCUCUGUGCU